AGAGUUUGAUCAUGGCUCAGGACGAACGCUGGCGGCGUGCCUAAUACAUGCAAGUUGAACGCUUGAUUUUCACCGAAGCUUGCUUCACCGAAAAUCAAGAGUAGCGAACGGGUGAGUAACGCGUGGGUAACCUACCUAUCAGCGGGGGAUAACUAUUGGAAACGAUAGCUAAUACCGCAUAACAAUGUUGAAUGCAUAUUCGACAUUUGAAAGUACCAAUUGGUACACUGAGAGAUGGACCCGCGUUGUAUUAGCUAGUUGGUAGUGUAAUGGACUACCAAGGCGAUGAUACAUAGCCGACCUGAGAGGGUGAUCGGCCACAUUGGGACUGAGACACGGCCCAAACUCCUACGGGAGGCAGCAGUAGGGAAUCUUCGGCAAUGGACGAAAGUCUGACCGAGCAACGCCGCGUGAGCGAAGAAGGUUUUCGGAUCGUAAAACUCUGUUGUUAGAGAAGAACGUUGCAUAGAGUGGAAAAUUAUGCAAGUGACGGUAUCUAACCAGAAAGGGACGGCUAACUACGUGCCAGCAGCCGCGGUAAUACGUAGGUCCCGAGCGUUGUCCGGAUUUAUUGGGCGUAAAGCGAGCGCAGGUGGUUUAAUAAGUCUGAUGUAAAAGGCAGUGGCUCAAUCAUUGUGUGCAUUGGAAACUGUUAGACUUGAGUGCAGUAGAGGAGAGUGGAAUUCCAUGUGUAGCGGUGAAAUGCGUAGAUAUAUGGAGGAACACCGGUGGCGAAAGCGGCCCUCUGGACUGUCACUGACACUGAGGCUCGAAAGCGUGGGUAGCAAACAGGAUUAGAUACCCUGGUAGUCCACGCCGUAAACGAUGAGUGCUAGUUGUUUGGGGCUAUCCAGCCCUAAGUGCACGCAGCA
rnacentral:rRNA from 1 species